UGCGCAUGCCCUUAAAAGAAACAAGAGGAUUUCAUGUGUAUAUAUUCCUUCCUAAAAAUUGUUCUUUUCUCUUGGAGGAUAAAGUGGAUGCAAUGUCCAGCAUGCGCA
rnacentral:sRNA from 12 species